CAUGACAACAACUACACGGAGGAAGCUGGCGACAAAUUUGUUUGUGUUAGCAGCUGACACAGUUUACCUCGGUGUCAUUAGCUGCUCUUUGUAAUAGCUCUCAUCAUGGAAGACCAGGAGAUGCAACUUAAAGUCAAACGAGUCACCGACAAAUUCACGGAGAGCAUGUACGUCCUGGCUAACGAGCCGUCCGUGGCCCUCUACCGACUGCAGGAACACGUCAGAAGGUCGCUGCCUGAGCUCGUGCAGCACAAGACGGACAUGCAGAGCUGGGAGGAACAAAGCCAAGGAGCCAUCUACACUGUUGAGUACGCAUGCAGUGCCGUGAAGAGCAUGACGAAGAGCAGCCUGUAUUUCAAAAGUAUCGACAGCCUCCUCCGCCAAGCCAUCAGCAUGAAAGAGCAGAUCAGCAACUCUCAAGGGCGCAGACACAUGCAUGCAGCUUAAAUGAUGUGACCCCCUCUCCCAGUCCCCCUGUCCCUGCUCCACAUCCCUCAUCCUCUUCAUCAUGAUGACUGGAUGGAGCUGUCCAAGGAAAAGGACCAUGGACCCAGGCCUGCUAAAGGAAGGGGGAGAAAAGCACAGCUCUGGGAUGUGAUGUGACUUCUUGAAUUGGUGGUGUUGCUGCUGCAGUCUCCUGCUCUGCUGCCUCUUGACAGAGGCUGAAGUGGGGUCACAAGGGCAACACCUCCUCCAUCACAAUGGAGCGACUGCCUCCAUUGCCCCCCCCCCCCCAAGUGCAAGCCGCUCAGUGGAAUAGGGCGCCAUGGCGCUGCCAGGUUCUGCAUUAAAAAUACUCAAGUCAUGGACAUCGCUCAAAGAGUGCAUUGUUCUGUGUGGCUCACUGAGCAGACCAGUGAAAAAGCACCACUGCAGCUUUUCUCUCAGCUGUUGAAAAUCCACUGCGCUAACACUGUUUUGGACAUUACUUUUUCAUGAGCAGCACUGUUGCAUUUACACCAAGCUGUAUACAAGCAUCAGAUUUGUACAAAGGGAUGUGAGAUUUGAGAAAAACUGUUGUUGAGAUAUCAUCACUUAACAUGCACAUAUGAAAUCAGUACAAAUGAGCACAUACAAGUUAAUAUGCCUACUAGUGACUCAGCAUUUGAUUUUCACUGUUAACUUGAAUUUAAAGACUUAUGCACACCUAAAUGGCACAUCUGAUGUUGUGUUUAAAUGGCAAAUUCUCAGUGGAAAAAAGUAAGAGUCACAUUUUUCAUUCUUGUGUUCUUACCUGCCAAGUACACAGAAACCCCCAGGCAAAACAGUCCAAUAGCCACAUGUCUCACAGCCCUGCUGUCCAGCAGGAACCAGUCUGCUCUGUGGAGAGAAAUGUCAAAUGUUAUCAACUCAUCAAUGUCCUGUUUACAGGCCGGCUUUGCCACUUUGGUUGUUUCAUUACAGCAAAAAAAUGGAAUGGUGAAAUUAUGCUGCCUGUUAUAGUUUCUAUGGUGACUGUUUUCAUUACUGCAUCAUGUCUCUGCUAGCAUUGUUUAACUGAUAUUUGCUUGUCCCUACAUUGUUUUUUUUUUGUUUUUGUUUUUUUUGAUAGGUUUAUACAGGCCUAUCUAAACAAACCUUUAAAUAUUCAAUCAUUGAUGACUACUUGAUUAUUGAUUAUUUUAAUCUUUUAAGUGUAACAUUUAUGUUUAAAUUAAAACUGUUUAAAACAUUGAGUCAUUA